GAUGAACGCUGGCGGCGUGCCUAAUACAUGCAAGUCGAGCGAAAAGACGAGGAGCUUGCUCCUCUGACGUUAGCGGCGGACGGGUGAGUAACACAUGGAUAACCUACCUAUAAGACUGGGAUAACUUCGGGAAACCGGAGCUAAUACCGGAUAAUAUAUUGAACCGCAUGGUUCAAUAGUGAAAGACGGUUUUGCUGUCACUUAUAGAUGGAUCCGCGCCGCAUUAGCUAGUUGGUAAGGUAACGGCUUACCAAGGCGACGAUGCGUAGCCGACCUGAGAGGGUGAUCGGCCACACUGGAACUGAGACACGGUCCAGACUCCUACGGGAGGCAGCAGUAGGGAAUCUUCCGCAAUGGGCGAAAGCCUGACGGAGCAACGCCGCGUGAGUGAUGAAGGUCUUCGGAUCGUAAAACUCUGUUAUUAGGGAAGAACAAAUGUGUAAGUAACUAUGCACGUCUUGACGGUACCUAAUCAGAAAGCCACGGCUAACUACGUG
rnacentral:rRNA from 1 species